CGACCGGGUGAGUAACACGUGAUUAACCUACCUUCGAGUGGGGAAUAACUUCGGGAAACCGAAGCUAAUACCGCAUAACAUCCCAAGGACGAGAAGCCCAGGGAUCAAAGGAGCAAUUCGCUUGAAGAGGGGGUCGCGGCUGAUUAGCUAGUUGGCGGGGUAAUGGCCCACCAAGGCGAUGAUCAGUAGCCGGUCUGAGAGGGCGCACGGACACACUGGAACUGAAACACGGUCCAG
rnacentral:rRNA from 1 species